CGGGGGGGCAAGCGUUGUUCGGAAUUACUGGGCGUAAAGGGCUCGUAGGCGGCCAACUAAGUCAGACGUGAAAUCCCUCGGCUUAACCGGGGAACUGCGUCUGAUACUGGAUGGCUCGAGUUUGGGAGAGGGAUGCGGAAUUCCAGGUGUAGCGGUGAAAUGCGUAGAUAUCUGGAGGAACACCGGUGGCGAAGGCGGCAUCCUGGACCAACACUGACGCUGAGUGAGCGAAAGCCAGGGGAGCAAACGGGAUUAGAUACCCCGGUAGUCCUGGCCCUAAACGAUGAAUGCUUGGUGUGGCGGGUAUCGAUCCCUGUCGUGCCGAAGCUAACGCAUUAAGCAUUCCGCCUGGGGAGUACGGUCGCAAGGCUG
rnacentral:rRNA from 1 species